ensembl:lncRNA
GAUGUAGAGGUGAAAUAAGAUAAAAACAAAGCGGGAAAGGAGAACAACAAGCAGAGUGAAAGUAAACGGACAGUGAGCGCAGUGUAACCGUGACAACGAGACACGAGGACGGAUUUAAAGUGAUCAUAAAAUCGUCUCCAGACGGUCGUCGUUCGUCCAGUAGGCGGGAUUAAUGCACCUGUAAGCUGAUUUGUCAAACGCCAUCAAGCCCUGAAGAAGAACGGAGGAGGACAGCACUACUGUGGUAGAGGAGCGGUGUGUGUGCAGACAUGGCUGCUGUUGGUGAAGCGAACUGAACUUAGAGGAGAGACACAAACUAAAGUAUAGAUCCACUCACGUCAGUGUGGAUCUGACACCAACGUCUGUAUCGCUUCAUCGAUGCUUGUAUCAAUCCCUCCAGCCAGAGUUGAAGCAGCAAUGAGUUCAGUUCAGUAUCUGAGAGAGUUCAUCAAGGAGAGACUAACUGCUGUUUGUGAAGAAAUCUUCUCAGAGGUUCAAAAAACCAUCGUCCAGUAUGAGGAGGAGAUCAACCGUCAGCACAGACUGCUGGAUAUCAGCCGGAAACCCGACAGAAACUCACACAUCAUAGAUCUACCACAACAUCAUGACUGUAAGGAAGAGGAGGGUCUGGAUGAGCAGCAGGUCUGUAACCAGGAGAGGAACUCCAGUGUGGACCAGGAGGACCCAGAGCCUCCACAGAUUAAAGAGGAACAGGAGGAACCCUGCAGCAGUCAGGAGGGAGAGCAGCUUGGACUGAAGCAGGAGGCUGAAGGCAUUAUCGUCUGGACUGAUGAAGAGCAGCUCAGACUGAUGGAGACCAU